GGGUGGGUCCUGCGCGACGGAGCGCCGUGAACCAUGUCAGGCGGGGAACCGAGCAGCAUUAAUCGGUUAGCACUGUGCGCCGCAGUCAGCCUGCCCGCC
rnacentral:SRP_RNA from 1 species